rnacentral:rRNA from 1 species
CGCCUAAGGUGGGAUAGAUGAUUGGGGUGAAGUCGUAACAAGGUAGCCGUAUCGGAAGGUGCGGCUGGAUCACCUCCUUUCUAAGGAA